ensembl:lncRNA
UGCCCAUCCGCUGUGGGAGGGUUGGGGACGCGGUCUCCGAUGGAUCGGGGAAGACGGGGGGGACCUCCCCAGCCCUGGGGAAGCCGCAGCUGGUGCUGUCCCUGCUGUCCCCGUGUCCCCGCCGUAUCCCAGGCCCCGAUCCAGCCCCGGCCCCAGAUCUUCUCACUGCGGGAGGGUUUCCCUCUGCCUUCCUCUCAGGGAGACCCCAGGACAUCCCCCAUUCCAGGGGAUUCCCCGCAUGGCAGCUCUGCCCGGGGUGGUUGUGUGUCCCUGCGUGUCCCCACGGGUGCCAACCGCCCGCCUUUCUCCAUGCACCUCCGGACCCACGGAUAUCCUCACCCCCUUCUGCCAUCCCCACGGGUCCCACGUGGGGCAGAACCCUCCCAAACCUGGGCUCUGCACUCAGAGGGGUGUCUAUGGGGCAGCAGCACUGGCGCUGGGGGGGUCCCACCGUGGCACUGUCCCAGCCUUCCUUGUGCUGAUGGCUCCACCGACUCAGAGGUCCCAACCCCACAACCCUGAACCAAUGUCAGCUCCUGUAAUGCUGCCCCGUGGCCCCAAACCAGGCUCAGCCCCCCCCCACGCCGUGUGUGGGGCCGGGGGCUCCCGCUGACACCAGCAGAUGCUCUCCAGUGUGGGACAUAUGGCCCCAGCAGGGCGCCCCCAGGACAUGAUGGCUGCAGGAGUGGGGCUGUGAGGACGGCCCCAGCGCCCCAAAUUGCUGCCUCCCCCCACCCCCCCCACCCCCAUCCCUGUGAUUCCCAGGCAGAAAUUAGGGAGCGGGUAAUAAAUAAAUCACCACCCGGAGCCGUUCGGCCGCCCGCCUCUAUUUUUAGCUGCACCCUCCUCUGCAGUUGCUCGCAGGCAGCAGCGCUGCUCGGGGGCACGGGGGGGAGUGGGGUCCCACUGCCACCCGUGGGGAUGCGCCGGGACAGGACAGGACAGACCCCUGUCUGACAUGGGGUUGUGCUGCCACCCAGCCGGGGGGCUCCAACCACGUGGGGAGGGGGCUGCAGGAGGUGACAGCCCAUCUGUGUCCCAGCCGAGGGCCCCCUCUGGGGUGCGCUCACCCUCUUCUCACUGCCCCCACCGUGAGGAUGAGGAGGGGUCCCCACGGCCCCCCUGGGAGGGAGGGGGCAGCAGGGCCGGGUGAAGCCAUUGUGGCUCAGUGCAGCCUCUGCUGCGGCUCUCAGGCCCAACGUGUGGCCCCUCCCGUCCCAGCACCCCCCCCUCCCCUUCCUGUAGGCUGUGCCCAGGACCCCCCUGCAUGCCGGUAUCACAUAGGGACCCCCCUCCCCAUCCUCUCCUGCCCCCCAGGACACCUGAUCUGAAGGCUGUGAUAUCUCUGUGCCCCCGUAGGGUCAGACCCCCUCUUCUUGGCAUGCAGCUGAGGUGGGUCCCCGUCCGCAGCGCUGCCCCCAGGGUGGGGGGUGGGAGAGGGUCGCCCCACUGGCACUGCAGCACUGGGGGUCCGCAGCCACAGCGCCUCUGCUGGGACCGGGGACACACAGGGCCACCACUCAAGGACAUCCACCACCAUCACCCGCAGCCAAACCGGGGGGCCGCGGUGUCCCCAUCCCCACCCCCACGCUGCGGCUAUGGGACAGGGAUACCCAUAGCUCAGCACCCACAUCCCUGAGCAUCCCAAUGGGAUGCAUCUCUAUGGGGACAGGGACACAAACAGGGCCAUCCCUCUCCGGGCUCUGGCUUUCGGUUUGGCCCCGGCAUCUCCCCAACGGACGGAUCCCACUGAUGUCUGACAGGAAGGAUUUAAUGAGGCCUCUUUGCGCCGCCGUCAAUGUGAGCUGUGAGCGACACAACCGCAGCGUGUGAUGGCUCCUGAAAUACUGCCCAGGAUCCAUCCGGGGGGGGCCUUGGGGGGGGGGCACCCUGACCCCCUCUGGGGAGCCCCCAAAACCCCGCAGAGCCCCCCGCUGCCUCCCACCCCCCCCUCCCCCCAACCAUCUCCUCCCAACCGAAUAUUAAAAGGAAAUUGGAGCUCAUUUCCCGGCCGUAAAUUUGGCAGAAUGGUGAGAAAAUGAUCCGGCCCUGGAGGGGAGCCAGGGCCCCGCACAGCAGCUGCACCCCGAGCCCUGAGCCCCGUGGGCAGCCACAACGCAGCGCUGCGGUGUGACCCUAUGGAGAGGGGGGCUCCCCACGUCGCUGCAAUGAGGGUGGGGGGCCUGAAAUCCGGGCAGCUGCAAACUCCUGCAGGGAAAAGAGGGGUCCCCUUGGGUACCCCCCGAGGUGCCCGUGUGGAGGCCCUGCAGCCGUUGCCCUGGGGGGGGGCUGCGGUGCUGGAGGCAGUGGGGAUGGGGCUGCCGUGGGUGGGUGUUUGUGCUGCAGGGGCUCUGCGGGGCCCUUCGUGUGGCGCAGGGGGUGUGCCACGGGGAUGCCGUUGCUGUGGGGCCGUCGGUACAAAUGGUGCUGUUGGUGCAAUGGGGACGUUUGUUCGGUGGGGCCAUUCGCACAGCGGGGCCGUUCGGGCGGUGGGGCUGUUGGUGCAAUGGAAACAUUGAUGCGGUGGAGCAGCUGAUGCGCGUUUGGGGCUGGCUGUGCAGUGGGGCUGUUCGUGCAGUGGCCCUUUGGAUGCAGUAGAGACGUUCGUGCCACGGAGCUGUUGGUGCAGUGGGGUUGUUUGAGCAGCGGGGCUGUUUGUGCUGUGGGGACGUUUGUGCAGUGGGGCUGUUUGUGCAAUGGGAACGUUUGUGCAACGGGGAUGUUUGUGCAGUGGGGCCGCCCGUGCAUCGGCAGUGCUGUUGGUGCAACGGAGGUGUUCGUGCAGUGGAGCAGUUGGUGCAGUGGGGACGUUUGAGAUGCACAGUGCUCGUGCAAUGGGGCUGUCCGUGCAGUGGGGCUGUCUGUGCAAUGGGGCUGUUUGCACACAGGGCCAUAUAUACGGUGGGAUCGGUGCUGGCUCUGCAGCCAGGCUGGGGAAACCACAUUGCUCCGUCCUCCCCCCCGGUGCACGCAGGCAGUGCAGGCCCUGCAGGGAGGGAGUGCAGUGUGGGGGCUCUGCCUGCAGCCCCAGCACGGAGCUGAGCCCCCCCUCGCCCCCAUGCCCUGCCCCGCUUUCCUCCUCUCCAAUUGCUGGGUGAUAAAACGACAGCCGGAAAAACAGACAUCCGAAAACCAGACAGACAUCCAAAAACCACAGCAGCGCUCCCGGAUCCCGCCUGGGCCGCAGCUGAUGGGGGGAUGGGGGGGGGGCACAGGGCUGCACCCACAGCACACGUGGGGCAGAGCUCCAAGGGGGUGUGGAGGCUCCGGGGGUCCCCCACAAUACCCCCCCGUGCCCCCACUUAACGCCACCUCUCAUCCCUGCCAGGCGUGGAGGGAAGCCCAUGGCACCCGGCCCCCCGGACCCCCCCCCUUCCCAGCCCCAGCCCUGCUGCGCAGGCCCAUAGCACCCCAAGGUCCCCCCCGGGCAGUGCUGGGGAGCACGAGCAGGUAUGGGGUGCAGGGAGGGGGGAGGGGGGGCAGGUAUGGGGUGCAGGAGGGCACGGAGGGGGGGAG